rnacentral:rRNA from 1 species
UACAGAGGUCUCAACCGUUGUUCGGAUUCAUUGGGCGUAAAGGGUGCGUAGGCGGUCGGGUAAGUCGGAUGUGAAAUCUCAGGGCUCAACCCUGAAACUGCAUUCGAUACUGCCUGGCUAGGGUACUGGAGAGGAGACUGGAAUUUACGGUGUAGCAGUGAAAUGCGUAGAUAUCGUAAGGAAGACCAGUGGCGAAGGCGAGUCUCUGGACAGUUACCGACGGUGAGGCACCAAAGUCAGGGGAGGAAACGGG